GAUGAACGCUGGCGGCGUGCCUAAUACAUGCAAGUCGAGCGAACAGACGAGGAGCUUGCUCCUCUGACGUUAGCGGCGGACGGGUGAGUAACACGUGGAUAACCUACCUAUAAGACUGGGAUAACUUCGGGAAACCGGAGCUAAUACCGGAUAAUAUAUUGAACCGCAUGGUUCAAUAGUGAAAGACGGUUUUGCUGUCACUUAUAGAUGGAUCUGCGCCGCAUUAGCUAGUUGGUAAGGUAACGGCUUACCAAGGCAACGAUGCGUAGCCGACCUGAGAGGGUGGUCGGCCACACGGGAACUGAGACACGGUCCAGGCUCCUACGGGAGGCAGCAGUAGGGAAUCUUCCGCAAUGGGCGAAAGCCUGACGGAGCAGCGCCGCGUGAGUGAUGAAGGUCUUCGGAUCGUGAAACUCUGUUAUUAGGGAAGAACAAAUGUGUAAGUAACUAUGCACGUCUUGACGGUACCUAAUCAGAAAGCCACGGCUAACUACGUG
rnacentral:rRNA from 1 species